UGAAGCAAACAGACCAAAUGAGAAGAAGAAGAGGUAGAACAGGCAACAUCCAGACCAGGAGGCAGUUUCAUAUAAACUUCCCCAGCUAGGUCACCAUGUAAGAAUGCAGUAUUCACAUCAAGUUGAAAGAGAGACCAAUUCUGGUUAACAUCCACAGCAAUGAGGGAUUUGAUAGUUGAGAACUUGACAACUCGAGAAAAGGUCUCACUGAAGUCUAUCCCCUCAACUUGGGUGUCACCCCUAACAACCAUUCUAGCCUUAUGUCUUUCCACAGACCCAUCAGUCCUAUAUAUGAUCUAAUAGACCCAUUUGCAACCAAUAGGUCAUUUACCAGGGGGAAGAGGGACAACAGACCAUGUAUGAUUGGCCCCAAAAGUUGCAAAUUCCCUGGCCAUUGCCUCCUGCCAGGCAGGAAUGGAAGCAGCCUGCUGGUAGGAGGUAGGUUCUGACUGAGGACUGCUAACCAAGGUGUGAAGGCAAGUGGAAGAAGAAAUGGAGGAAGAAAGAGAAGGAGGAAGAGUACAGACAUACUGCUGAAGGUGGGCAGGAAGGACAUGUGCCCUAUUGGAUCUUCUGGGAGCAGAUGAAGAAGGCACUGAACAGUAGUAUGUGAUGGAGAAGAAGGGGAAGAAGAGGGAGAGGCAAGAGGUUGAUGGGUGGAAGAAGAAGAGGGAUUGGGCAGAAGGUCAUCAACAGGAGGAACCCAGGCAGAAGAAGGAUUUAGAUGGGGAGGGGAGCCAAGGGAAUAAUUCUCUGGAGAGGCAAAAGGAAAGACAUCCUCAUGAAAAAUGUCAUCCCUGGAGAUCAGGGUAAGCUUAGACUUCAAAUUAUACAGCUUGUAGCCCUUCUUAGCCAAUGGGUAACCCAGGAAAACACAGGGAUCAGCUUUGGGCUGGAAUUUAUCCCUAUUCUGUUUAGGGACAGAGGAAAAACAUAAGCAACCAAAUAUUUUAAGAUUGUUGUAGGAAGGAAUUUGGCCAAACAGUAAUUCAAAAGGGGAUUUGUUGUUAAGCAGUUUGGAAGGAAACCUGUUAAUGAGGUAGGUGGCAGUAAGCACACAAUCACCCCAAAACUUAAUGGGUAGCUGAGAAUGAUAGAGUAGAGCUCUGGAGGUUUCUAGCAGGUAUCUAUACUUUCUCUCAACAACACCAUUUUGUUGUGGUGUGUGAGAGCAAGAAGUUUGAUGCAUUACGCCAUGAUCAGCAAAGAAGUUGCUGAUCACAGCCACUAGAACCAAGUUCAAAUGCAUUAUCACUCAUAAUGGUUUGUACCACAGAGUGGAAUUGAGUCUUAACCAUGGCAAUGAAGGCUUUAAUGAGGGGAAAGGCAUUGCUCUUGGACCCCAUAAGGUGGGUCCAAGUAGCUCUGGUAAAAUCAUCAACUAUUGGGAAAGGCAUUGCUCUUGGACACCAUAAGGUGGGUCCAGGUAGCUCUGGUAAAAUCAUCAACUAUUGUUAAAAAAUAUCUACAACCAUUAUGAGUAGAAGUGGCAUAGGGACCCCAUGUAUCAACAUGGAUUAGU
rnacentral:lncRNA from 1 species